CCAAUUGGAAAGAUUGUUUGUUUAUUGCGUUGCGUGUUAGGGUUGGGUUUCUUGGGGAAUUUUUCGUUUCGUUCUGCGAUUCGGAGCAGGACCAAGCCCUAGCCCUCAAUCCCAACUUAGAGCCAUGUCGUCCAAGCAAGGUGGAAAGGCAAAGCCUCUCAAGCAACCAAAGGCUGACAAGAAAGAAUACGACGAGGUUGAUAUGGCUAACAUUCAGAAGAAGAAGGAAGAAGAGAAGGCACUGAAGGAGCUUAAAGCCAAGGCACAACAGAAGGGAUCCUUUGGAGGUUCUGGGCUUAAGAAGAGUGGAAAGAAAUGAGGGGUUUUCAAAGCUUAAUCCGAAUGCAAAAAUAUGAUUGUUGAGCUGUACCUAUCAAAACAUUACUUAUGAGAUCCUCUAUUGUGAUGCUUCUGUUUGUGAGCAAAUUUGCUGUUUGCUUUUUUAAGUCGAUGUUAGUGUGUAAGACUUAAUAAACGAAGUUGGAUGUUUUGUUUUCA